UCAACGCUGCGUAUUCCGGGGUCUGGUGAUUCAAAUCACCGGUUCAAAUCACGAAAUUUAACGAACGAUUUCUCUCAUCUCUUGAAAGUUAUGCUUCGUCAAACUAAUCUUGCUCCUUAUCCAUCGUAUUGUUAUUGAAUUGCAGUUUUUGUGAAUGAAAAGAUCUGCUAGGAUGAUUGCCUUAUUUGUUAAGUUAUACUUAAUUCCACAUUGUUUCGGUUACGACGCUGGCCUCACGUUGAAGGAGACCGGAGAAAAAGAAUAUCUGUUGUUGAAAGCUAAAUCAACUUUACCGCACCAUGGAAAGUGUUGGCACAACGUUUUACGAGGAAUUAAGGCUAGUUGUGAUAAAUUGAAUGACCGAGAACACUCUCUUCUUGCAUUGCAGUUGACAAAUUGUUUCUUAGAAGAUUCUGGCCAUGCUACCUAUGAUUGCAUCCUUACCAAAGAGGAAAACGAUAGACGAGAAUGCAUCGGUGAAAUGUCUGACCGUGCUUUUGGGGUCUACAGCACAUUCUUCACUCAGGCAAUGAACAUUUGCUAUUUCCUUAAUCAAGAAAUCUGGCAGUCAGAAACAGACCACACUAUCAAGCAAUUAUAUCAUGCUUCAUCUCGCAUGAAUCAACAACUGCUGGAGGCUUCAGAAAUGCAGAAUGUAAUGUUGGAAAGUCAAAAACAAGGUUUAAAGCUGCAAAAUGAACUUUUGGAUCAUGGACAGCAACUUGGAUCCGUUAUAAAAUCAUCGGCUGAAACUGUUACUACAAUGGUAGCCGAUUUCAAAGAAAACGCAAGCGAACAACGUGAACUCUUGCAUCAAAUCUUCUCUAACGUUCACGUCUUCCAAAAUUGGAUUGUCAGUGAAGUUUCGUGGUUUCAAUCUAUUGUGUUCUACACAGUCUCCUGCAUCCUCUGUGGGCUAUUUACUUCUUCUAAAAGAACUGCAGAGGCAAGAAUUACGAUGUUCAUUACCCUGAGCUUAAAUGUUGUUGUGGAGAGAAUGCUGGUUCAAUAUUACAACAAAGGAAACUCAGAUGAUGUUAAGAUUGAAUUGUCAUAUAUAACUUGGAUGUUUCGUAAGAUCUCUUUGACAAUUUGUGUCCUCACAUUGCUCUUCACAUCUUGCUUAUACAGGGACGAGCAGCUAGAAAAUUCAAAAGCUCUCCAGCGUAUCGAAUGUCAAUUGGGUGCACUCUAUGAGAUGAAAAAACCAACUAUACGUUAUUCCAGGAGGCUAGCAUUGCGACGACAACAAGAAUGUGAAGUAACGGAAGAAGCAAAAGUUGAAAGGAUGACACGCAGUAGGCGUCGCUUGAAAGAUAUUUCACUCAAUUCAUAAUCCACGCAGUCGAGAUCAGAAGGGUUCAUUAUUCCUGUCGCAGGCCCGAGAGGAGUAUUUUCAACUUAUUUCAUUUAACAUUAUCAAACCUGAUAAUGAGGGACAACAGAUUCGGCAAAUCUUUGAUCAUCCUGAACAACUGUUGAAUCACCGAUGCCGGGUUGAUUUUUAUUAUCGCUAAAGGAAAGGUAGUGAAACAGGGUGGGUUUCUCUGGAC